rnacentral:tRNA from 1 species
GAGAGCAUAGCUCAAGUGGCAGAGUGUGUGCUUAGCAUGUACCAGGUCCUGGGUUCAAUCCCCAGUACCUCCA